rnacentral:rRNA from 1 species
CCUACGGGAGGCAGCAGUAAGGAAUCUUCCACAAUGGACGAAAGUCUGAUGGAGCAACGCCGCGUGCAGGAUGAAGGCUUUCGGGUCGUAAACUGCUUUUAUAUGGGAAGAUUAUGACGGUACCAUAUGAAUAAGGACCGGCUAACUACGUGCCAGCAGCCGCGGUAAUACGUAGGGUCCAAGCGAUAUCCGGAAUUACUGGGCGUAAAGCGUGUGUAGGUGGAUUAAUAAGUGUGAUGCGAAAUCCGGCGGCUCAACCGUUUGGACUGUGUCGCAUACUGUUAGUCUAGAGGACGGCAGAGGUACGUGGAAUUACGGGUGUAGCAGUGAAAUGCGUAGAUAUCCGUAGGAACACCAAUGGCGAAGGCAGCUUACUGGGCCACACCUGACACUGAGACACGAAAGCGUGGGGAGCGAACAGGAUUAGAUACCCUGGUAGUCCACGCCGUAAACGAUGCAUACUAUUAGUAUGGGGUAUCGACCCCCUGUGCUGAGAAGCUAACGCGAUAAGUANGCCGCGNGGAGUACGAGCGCGAGACUAACUACAANAGAGUAGAGNGNGAGAGNGCGACGACGACGACGAGGGAGGAGG